AAGAGUUUCUCUGUUCUCUAAAAUAAAAACAGAGUGGUGGAGUCAUUAUGACCCUCUUAGAGUUUCCAGUUUCUCUAAAAAACUGGUGGCGAGCCUGCUC
rnacentral:ncRNA from 1 species